AUUGACAGGAUGAGAUGAACGAGCUCCUCCUGAACCUUCAUUUAGAGCCUCAUUUAAAUACAGAAUGAGUUCAUUUGCAUAUUGAUCAGAUGCUUCAGUGCUCUGAGAGUGUUUAUAGUGCUGUGAGUUUAACACUUCAUCACUGACACACACAACAAUCUUCAUCAACAUGACCUUCAUCAUCAUCUUCAUCUGGACUCUCACAGCGUUUGCUCAAGAGUGUAGAGGACAGAUCACCGUCACUCAGAGUCCCUCAAUGACAGCAGCUCAACCAGGACAAACACUUAUAAUACACUGUAAAACUAGCAGUGAUGUGUACAAGGAUAGUAAUGGGGGUCGUUUAGCCUGGUACUUACAGAGACUCGGAGAAACUCCUAAACUCCUGAUUUAUUAUGUAAACCGCCUCCAGUCAGGAACUCCAUCUAGAUUCAGUGGCAGUGGAUCUAACAGUGAUUUCACUCUGACCAUCAGUGGAGUCCAGACUGAAGAUGCAGGACAUUAUUACUGUCAGAGUUUCCACUAUCCAAACAGUCAACGUGUGUUCACACAGUGAUAAAGAGUCGCACAAAAACCUCCGUCAGUCAGAGUCACAGUGACUGAACUGAUACUGCAGCUGCUCACACACUUUCACACACUUUCACACACUACUGACACACAGAGGACAAACACAGGAACUACACAUGUGCUCAAAACUGACUUAUGACUGAAAUCAGCUCUAUUAGACUGUGAUCUGUCCUGUGACAGACGGGUUUGACUCAAAUAUGCUCAGAAUCAGAGAAAACAGUGUGUGUAAAUUAAUAUGAAAUCAAACUAACAGUAAUGGUGUCAUAUGUUGUUUUGUUUUUGUACAUUAAACUACACUAAAGUCAUGGUGUAUCAGUAACAUGCA